rnacentral:rRNA from 1 species
AACGAACGCUGGCGGCGUGCCUAACACAUGCAAGUCGAACGGGAAAACCCGCAAGGGUGAGUACAGUGGCGCACGGGUGCGUAACACGUGGGUAAUCUGCCCAGAAGCCCGGAAUAACUCCCCGAAAGGGGUGCUAAUGCCGGAUGAGACCACGGGGACUUCGGUUCCUGGGGGAAAAGGUGGCCUCUGUAUACAAGCUAUCACUUCUGGAUGAGCCCGCGGCCCAUCAGCUAGUUGGCGGGGUAAUGGCCCACCAAGGCUACGACGGGUAGCUGGUCUGAGAGGACGAUCAGCCACACUGGAACUGAGACACGGUCCAGACUCCUACGGGAGGCAGCAGUGGGGAAUCUUGCGCAAUGGGCGAAAGCCUGACGCAGCAACGCCGCGUGUGUGAUGAAGGUCUUCGGAUCGUAAAGCACUGUCGGGAGGGACGGAUAAGGGCCGGGUGAACAAUCCGGUUCGACGACGGCACCUCCAGAGGAAGCACCGGCUAACUCUGUGCCAGCAGCCGCGGUAAUAC